rnacentral:rRNA from 1 species
UUAACGGCAAGAACCUUACCUACCCUUGACAUGGUCGGAAUCCCGCUGAGAGGUGGGAGUGCUCGAAAGAGAACCGGCGCACAGGUGCUGCAUGGCUGUCGUCAGCUCGUGUCGUGAGAUGUUGGGUUAAGUCCCGCAACGAGCGCAACCCUUGUCCUUAGUUGCUACGCAAGAGCACUCUAAGGAGACUGCCGGUGACAAACCGGAGGAAGGUGGGGAUGACGUCAAGUCCUCAUGGCCCUUAUGGGUAGGGCUUCACACGUCAUACAAUGGUCGGAACAGAGGGUUGCCAACCCGCGAGGGGGAGCUAAUCCCAGAAAACCGAUCGUAGUCCGGAUUGCACUCUGCAACUCGAGUGCAUGAAGCUGGAAUCGCUAGUAAUCGCGGAUCAGCAUGCCGCGGUGAAUANUUAAANAUNNNNNC